AAUAAGUGAUAUUUUACACUAUUUCUUAUUUGAAAUUUUUUAGGUUAGUAUUUUUAUUAUUGUUAGAUAAUAAAAUAUGAAUAAUACUUUAUAUGUGACUAAUUAUUUUUAAUUUUUUUAUAAAUUUUUCAAAUAAGACGGAUGGUCAAACGUUGGACACGGAUAUUCACGGCUGCACUUAUU
rnacentral:pre_miRNA from 1 species